rnacentral:tRNA from 2 species
GGGCCCAUAGCUCAGUUGGCUAGAGCGCCACAUUUGCAAUGUGGAGGUCAGGAGUUCGAAUCUCCUUGGGUCCACCU